ACACGACCAGAAAAACGGAAAGGAAAGUUUCUUAAACUCCGGCCUAACCAUCGUCCCAAAACAAUCCCGGCUCAAACCAGUCACAAACGAAACAUAAAAAUGCAUGAGAAAAAAGACGAUGGAUGGUGAGACACCGUCGCCAUCGUUAACCAAGACAGCCCCACAUCAUUAAGUCUUAAUACGAACGCGACUGUGCGUCGCCAUAUCUAAAGCAACCGCAGUCUUGAUAUCCUCAAUAGCAAGGGGCCACCACCCUUCACUCCGGGCGUGAUUAGCCAUAAUAUCCGCCACACUGUUUCCUUCUCUAAAAAUGUGCGAAAUCUGAAGACGAAUAUUCGAGAGCCAACUUAAAGUCUGUUUCCAAAGCGGCAAAAAACGCCAAGGAACAUUCAGAGAUCGAGAGUGAAGGAGCUGCACUACAUAAGACGAAUCCGCUUCAAUCCAAAGCCAGUGCCAACCACGGAAAUUAGCGAUUCUAACGGCAUGCAUGACCGCCAAAAGUUCGGCUUCGAAAGCAAACCCCCGGCCC
rnacentral:lncRNA from 1 species